rnacentral:rRNA from 1 species
ACGGACAGGGAGGACUCCAUCUCCUGGCGUUGGACUACAAAUGGAAUCUACUCCGCGGCUUCGGCAUAUACAGCCCAAUUCUCCGGCUCCUUCCCCAGGUUCUCGCCGACGAAGAUUUGGGAGGCACACGUGGAACCCAAAUGCAAGCUCUAUUCCUGGCUGGUGCUCCAUGGCAAGAUCCUCACGACCAACAUGCUCGCUAUUCGCGGAUGGCCGCACGAUCCUACAUGCCCGCUGUGUCUGGGAGCACCGGAGACGGCAACUCACCUCUGCAAGGACUGCCCAUUUGCGAUUGCGGUUUGGUCGCAUGUUCAGGCAUGGACCGGGGAGGCGCCGACGAACACGAUGACAAUUCCGCCUCCCAUGGGAGUCUCCGACUGGUCGGAUCGGCUCAUCUGUUCCCUGUCCAAGGACGAAAGACGCCGGCGUAGCGGGCACUUCCUCUACACAAUUUGGAAUAUCUGGAAGGAGCGCAACCGCCGGAUAUUCAUCGGCACCCGCCUCACUCACCUAGAGGUGGCGGCCAUCGCGCUCGACGACAUCAGAAUACGGGCUUGCGCCUUUGGCAGGGCACAAGUGGCGACCGGCAUUGGGUGA